rnacentral:tRNA from 1 species
GCCUGGGUGGCUCAGUUGGUUGAGCAUAUGAUUCUUGGUUUCGGCUCAGGUCUCAGUCUCACAGUUUGUGGGUUCAAGCCCCAUAUCAGGCU